AUGGAUUUUUUGCGCAUGCGCACGAGUAACUUCCGUGAAAAUGGACAUCAACAGUAAAAAAAUGUGCUGGUUACCGGAAGUUCACAAGAACCAGUUAAGCGAAGGUAACACCCUACAACAUGAACAUGAACUGAUCACUGAGACUGCAUUGCGUAUGAAAGACAGUUUUAGAAGACGAAUGUCACCUUCGUCAGAAGCAGAUUUUUACUGCCAGGCUGGCUUUGACCAAAAAAGUUUUGAGAUCAAAUUUAUAUCAGACUAUAAAAACAUCCAAAUGGCUAGCUCAGAUGUGGAAGUGGAAUCAGACCCUUUUAGUUGGGAAUUCAAUGGAAAUUCAUUUGACAGUGAUGAUGAUGAUGAGAUUAAUUCAGCUUGUUGUGAUCCUCCUGGACAUCCAAGUGUUUUCGACAUUGAUGAAGAUUUUGUCAAUCUCUCUCUUGGACUAAACCAAGAAAUGAUGGUUUUAAGAAGAUUAUAGGAUAUGUCAUAGAAUACGAAGACCCCACCACUGGAGGCAGGCUAAUGAAUACCCAGUAGAUGAGUGUGUUUAUGAGGUGAAGGGAUUAAAAAAGGACAAGGAAUACAACUUCCACAUACAGGCCAAGAAUCUUGAAGGUUUUUAAAUUAGUGAGUCUAGUGAUGUGAUUGGUCCCAUAACUCCCAAGCCCAAAUACACCAAGGUUUUGCCACCUGGUGUACCAGAGGCUGUCAACAAUUCUAUAACUUAUCUGAAAUGGGAACCACCUAAACAUAAUGGUGGCUGUAAAAUUACAGACUACCUUGUAGAAGAGAGGUUUAAGGGAACAGAGAAAUGAGUACCCCUGCACUGACCCCUCUUUACUGUCACUGAUCUUCCUCAGGACUCAGAGUGGGAGUUUAGAGUUACAGCUGAUAACUUUGCUGGAAACUGUGAGCCCAGUCUGUGCUCACCAGCAUACAAAAUCCAGGAGAAGAUUGAGUCUUUUGCAAUUGAGCAGGAUGAGGAAUCACACCAAUCAUUUGUAAAUGAAAGCAGCAGUCAUGAUGUUGUCAAUGAGAAUGGUAAUCUAUAUUUAUGAUGUUGUUUGGAUGUUACAAAUUAAAAGUUAACCCCAU